CGAAGAUCAAUCUCAUAUUACCAUAGUUUCAACCCAUUAGAUAUAAAUAUAAUAAAACAAUCAUCAUCAACAACAAUCAACAUUACAAAAAUUCCAACCCACCGGCAUAACCAUAACUAUAAGCAUGUUCAUUAACACGCAUAGGUAGCAAUGCAAACUCCUGUAGAUCAUCAUCUUUGGACACAUCGAGUACACCAUCGCCAUAGCCAUAGGACAAUUGCACACACGGAAACGCACGUGAAGAAUACGCUUAUUUGCCUUCCACGGGUUUCUGGGCGAAAACAACUGUCA
rnacentral:lncRNA from 1 species